rnacentral:rRNA from 1 species
CUCCUCAUCGUCCUCCUCGACCUGCUCCUCCCGCCCGCACUCCUCUCCAACUUCCUCCGCGCCGGCGUCCACCAUGCCUCCGCACAUAGCGUCCUCGCCCAGGCCAGGGGCUUCCACUUCCGCUCCUCCCUCGUCGACCUCCCCGCCGUGUCCGCCGCCCGCUCCCUCCUCAUCCUCUACGCGUACACGGCGUGCGGGGGCGGCGCGGCCUACCUGUGGGUGGUGGCGGCCUGCAGCGUCGGCUCCCUCUUCUACGUCCUCGCCAAGGCCGUCGGCAGAUUGGCCAUGCGUAUGAAUCUGUCAAGGUAUGAAUCCAACCCCUCCCCUCCCCUCCGCCUGCCUCAGCUCCUCCCUCGCGUGCUGCGAAUCUCGACCCGAUCUUGGCUGGCAGCAGAUUGA